rnacentral:rRNA from 1 species
GACGAACGCUGGCGGCGUGCCUAAUACAUGCAAGUUGAGCGCUGAAGGUUGGUACUUGUACCAACUGGAUGAGCAGCGAACGGGUGAGUAACGCGUGGGGAAUCUGCCUUUGAGCGGGGGACAACAUUUGGAAACGAAUGCUAAUACCGCAUAAAAACUUUAAACACAAGUUUUAAGUUUGAAAGAUGCAAUUGCAUCGCUCAAAGAUGAUCCCGCGUUGUAUUAGCUAGUUGGUGAGGUAAAGGCUCACCAAGGCGAUGAUACAUAGCCGACCUGAGAGGGUGAUCGGCCACAUUGGGACUGAGACACGGCCCAAACUCCUACGGGAGGCAGCAGUAGGGAAUCUUCGGCAAUGGACGAAAGUCUGACCGAGCAACGCCGCGUGAGUGAAGGAGGUUUUCGGAUCGUAAAACUCUGUUGGUAGAGAAGAACGUUGGUGAGAGUGGAAAGCUCAUCAAGUGACGGUAACUACCCAGAAAGGGACGGCUAACUACGUG